CUGUUUCCAGCUUGGAAUUAAAGAUGUUAUUUGCUCCUCUAUCAUUUUAGCAAUCUCCAUUGGUUCCCAGUCAGUGAUCUCCAAUUCUUUCACCAUCUCUAAUGCAACGUCAAUUGCAGUGUCGUUCAUGGUGUCAAAGGGAAAGUAUAUGUUCCUUGUGCGACCAUCGUUGUCAGAAAUUUGCACUUUGAGGAAAAUUGUGUCAUCUUCAGGAUUCAUAGUUCCUGUAAUUGUCAUAUCUGUGGCCUUGGUUGGAUCAGCCAACAAAGAUGGAUUGAUCUCCUCUGUUCCAUUAGGAGAAGACAUUUGAAAUGGGAUUUUUGGGACGGGCAGCAAUUUGGGUUCAUCAGAUGCAAGAAAAGGGUCCAACAAGAGCUCCCGCGCAGGCAAUCUCUUUGAAGCAGUCUCCAAACAUUUCCCCACAAAUUUCUGGGCUUCAACAUCUUUAAUCCUGUAGAAAGCCUCUGGCAACUUUCCCGAAGUCACUUUCUUGUAUAUUUGGGCAGGAUUCGAGCACUCACUGUAUGGGUAAUCAGAAGUGAGCAUUUCUAACACACACAUCCCAAAGGAAUAAAUAUCCACCAGUUCAUUAUAUUCCUCUUCAUAUAAUUCUGGCGCCAUAAAUUCAGGGGUUCCUAUGACACUGCGAGCAUGUUGUGACUCACGAAGAAUAGCUGCUAGGCCUAGAUCACCAAUCUUGACUUGCCCAAGAUGGCCAUUGACAAAAAUAUUAUCGCACUUGAGAUCUCUAUGAAGCACAGGAGGAUCAUGGCCAUGAAGAUAAGCAAGUCCAUGGAGGAUUUGGCGUGCCCAGUUCUUGAUUGCUCGAAUAUCCACUCGCUGGUACUUCUUUCUGUACUCUCUUAGGGU
rnacentral:misc_RNA from 1 species